AGGCUGGUUGGUGUUGGCGAGGCUUGCACAUUAAUCUUGCUGCUCCGUUGAUUCAUUGCCCUGCUUUUGUUGCUAAGCUUUGAACCGAAAUGGUGGGAAACGGAAAUGCUCUGGGCCAGAAGACUGUGAGCCGAAAAACUUUGCCAAUAGCUGUCUCGCCUACCCAACCUCUGACAUUUUCAAAUAGGAGGGUUGUCCAAAAGAAUGCCAAGUUGUAAAUAUUCAAUUCUUAUGUUUACUAUAUUUUGCAUAAUUUCUCUACUGACUUGAGCGUCGGAGUAUCUUUUUUGUUUGCUGCAGGUCUCGCCUUCUCAAUCCUAAGACAUUUUCAAUAAGGAGGGUUGUUGAA